rnacentral:lncRNA from 1 species
UCCUUCCUUGCCCCGUCUAGACGCUAUCCUAAGUGUUCCUUAGCUGUGGAUGGCAUCUCUAUAAUCUCUGCCACAGUUGGUAUUCUCCCUAUGAAUGUGUAUAUUCAUACAGCGUUCUCUUCUAGUAUGUCUCUGUCCAGACUUCCCUCUUAAAAGGACACAAUUCAUUAAAUUGAGGCCCACCUUGAUCCAGUUUUACCUCAUCUUACUUUGAUUACAUCUGCAAAAUCUCUGCUUCCAAAUAAGGUUGCAUUCAUAAAUACCAGCAGAUUGUACUUCAAUGCAUCUUUUGGGGGUGGGGGUUUACCAUUCAAUUCACAAAAGUUACUAGGCAAAAACUUGGGCUUUAGGUUUGCUGGAACUUACUUUUCAAGAUAAGCUGGAACUUUAACUUUUAUGUUGAAUCCUCAUAUCAUUAUAAUUUGGCUUUUAAAAAUACUUCUGUAGGCUGGAUAGAGUUUUCAUCUUUGUCACCUUGUUACUUCUGUGCUGCUGGGGGAAGAGAGUGUGAAGAGGUGGAGCUUUCCUUUAUUUUCUCCAGGAGCUGGUACCACAGAGAACUAAGGAAGGUGAUGGCAGAGUAAGAUUGGAGAUGGAAAGGAAAUAUGGAAUUGCUGGAACAUCUCAGAAGACUGGUUAAAAAGAAAAAAAAUGAGUCAAGAAUCAAAAAUAACUGUUCUGCCAUAACACCAAAAGAAUAUCAACAUAUACGGAAGAAUGUUGAUGGGAAGUAAUGGAUCUGGAAAGAAGAGUGGGAAAUCUACAAAUUUCGAGGUCCAAAAAGUCUGGGUCUCCCAGGCAUAAGGUCCUUAUGAUACCUUUAAGAUAACCCAAGGAUAACUGACUCCUUGCCUAAAUCCUGCCUCCUAUUCCUGGAUUCCUCUUCUGCAUCCCUCUGGAUUGGUUCUGUGAUCUGUUUGCAGUUCUUU